UGCCAGCCGCCGCGGUAAUACGGAGGGUGCAAACGUGUUUCGGAAUUACUGGGCGUAAAGCGCGCGUAGGCGGCUUUUUAAGUCAGAUGUGAAAGUCCACGGCUCAACCGUGGAAGUGCAUUUGAAACUGGGAGGCUUGAGUAUUGGAGGGGGUGGUGGAAUUCCCGGUGUAGAGGUGAAAUUCGUAGAUAUCGGGAGGAAUACCGGUGGCGAAGGCGACCACCUGGCCAAAUACGGAAGCGGAGGUGAGAAAGCGUGGGGCGCAAACAGGAUUAGAUC
rnacentral:rRNA from 1 species